GGAGCUGGAGCUGGAGCUGCGAAUUCGGAGUCCCGGUUCCCUGUGCCACCUGGCGAGCUCAGCAAACUAAAAGUCUCUUUGUCUUCAUCGUUUCCGGCACUGAUGUGAGCACAUCAUAAGCACAAGACCUGGACACCUUUACAAUCAGAGGGCCUAGGACUGGAGCUCUGGAUCUGACCGGAGCAAAGAGGAAGCACGCAAAUCCGGACAUGACGACGAGGAGGCAGUAGAGACCCAUCCUCAACUACCCCCUGAGUGCCGAUCCCACCUGUGAAAGGGGAGGAGCAGAUCUGGGGAAGGGAUAUGCCCAGAGGAAAUCAACAAGACCAAAGAGACGUCAGAGUCCUGAUGGCCAAAAUCAGACACCAGCUUUCCUGAGAAGGCAGAAGAGAGAGCCCCAUAGAAGCAGUGGGGGCUCAGAAGGUUCAGUGGGUUCACAGGGGAGCAGAGGCUCCUGAGGGCUUACUCAGACAGGAAGCAGCCCCCCAAAACAUACUUCCCCUUCUCCUCCCACAGAAACAGAACAGAUAAAGUUCAGAAUUCUAGGCCCAAAAGGGUGCAACACCCUUCAACCAGUUUCAGUGAAGAGCUUGCUGGCCUGGGAAGUAAAGAAGGGGUUUCCAAAUACAGCAGUUUAUAAAACAGUCCUGGUGAGCUAUGAAGUGAAAGAGGGGGAGUCACAGAGCUGCUCCCAGUUCACCUGCUUGUGCUAAGAAACAAUAAAAUACAAAUUGCUUCCCCACCCCAACCCUCAGUACAAAGCAAACUUCACACCAGAGCCACCAUCAGUGACAGGCCCAGUGGCGGUGGAUGAGGAAGAGAAUACAAA
rnacentral:lncRNA from 1 species